UAUUGACAAUGAAGAGUUUGAUCCUGGCUCAGGAUGAACGCUAGCGAUAGGCUUAACACAUGCAAGUCGAGGGGCAGCAUGGUCUUAGCUUGCUAAGACUGAUGGCGACCGGCGCACGGGUGCGUAACGCGUAUGCAAC
rnacentral:rRNA from 1 species